CACAUGUAUGGGAUAUAAAAAUUAAGAAUGACAAAGAACAAUUAAUUACAGUUAUGCGUGGUACAGUUGCUAUUAAACCUUUAAAAUAAAAGAACUGCUAGCUGAAAUGUUAUGAGAUAUUCAUAACUACGGCUAGCAGUUUUUUUAUGCGCUAUAUUG
rnacentral:sRNA from 1 species